rnacentral:rRNA from 1 species
GACGAACGCUGGCGGCGUGCUUAACACAUGCAAGUCGAACGGAAAGGCCCUGCUUUUGUGGGGUGCUCGAGUGGCGAACGGGUGAGUAACACGUGAGUAACCUGCCCUUGACUUUGGGAUAACUUCAGGAAACUGGGGCUAAUACCGGAUAGGAGCUCCUGCUGCAUGGUGGGGGUUGGAAAAUUUCGGCGGUGGGGGAUGGACUCGCGGCUUAUCAGCUUGUUGGUGGGGUAGUGGCUUACCAAGGCUUUGACUGGUAGCCGGCCUGGGAGGGUGACCGGCCACAUUGGGACUGCGAUACGGCCCAGACUCCUACGGGAGGCAGCAGUGGGGAAUAUUGCACAAUGGGCGGAAGCCUGAUGCAGCAACGCCGCGUGCGGGAUGACGGCCUUCGGGUUGUAAACCGCUUUCGCCUGUGACGAAGCGUGAGUGACGGUAAUGGGUAAAGAAGCACCGGCUAACUACGUG